rnacentral:rRNA from 1 species
CCUACGGGCGGCAGCAGUGAGGAAUAUUGGUCAAUGGACGAGAGUCUGAACCAGCCAAGUAGCGUGAGGGAUGACUGCCCUAUGGGUUGUAAACUUCUUUUAUAUGGGAAUAAAAUGUUGCACGUGUGGAAUUUUGUAUGUCCCAUAUGAAUAAGGAUCGGCUAACUCCGUGCCAGCAGCCGCGGUAAUACGGAGGAUCCGAGCGUUAUCCGGAUUUAUUGGGUUUAAAGGGAGCGUAGGUGGAUUGUUAAGUCAGUUGUGAAAGUUUGCGGCUCAACCGUAAAAUUGCAGUUGAAACUGGCAGUCUUGAGUACAGGAGAGGUGGGCGGAAUUCGUGGUGUAGCGGUGAAAGGCUUAGAUAUCACGAAGAACUCCGAUUGCGAAGGCAGUUCACUGGACUGCAACUGACACUGAGGCUCGAAAGUGUGGGUAUCAAACAGGAUUAGAUACCCUGGUAGUC